UACGUAGGUGGCAAGCGUUGUCCGGAAUUAUUGGGCGUAAAGCGCGCGCAGGCGGUCCUUUAAGUCUGAUGUGAAAGCCCACGGCUCAACCGUGGAGGGUCAUUGGAAACUGGGGGACUUGAGUACAGAAGAGAAGAGUGGAGUUCCACGUGUAGCGGUGAAAUGCGUAGAGAUGUGGAGGAACACCAGUGGCGAAGGCGACUCUUUGGUCUGUAACUGACGCUGAGGCGCGAAAGCGUGGGGAGCAAACAGG
rnacentral:rRNA from 1 species